UGGGGAAUUUUGCGCAAUGGGCGAAAGCCUGACGCAGCAACGCCGCGUGUGUGACGAAGGCCCUAGGGUUGUAAAGCACUGUGGGAAGGGAAGAAAAAACGGGGGUUGUACCCCGUCUUGACGGUACCUUGUUAGAAAGCACCGGCUAACUCCGUGCCAGCAGCCGCGGUAAUACGGAGGGUGCAAGCGUUGUUCGGAAUUAUUGGGCGUAAAGGGCGUGUAGGUGGCUAUGCAAGUCUGGUGUGAAAGCCCACGGCUCAACCGUGGAACUGCAUUGGAAACUGCAUAGCUCGAGUGUUGGAGGGGGUCGCGGAAUUCCCGGUGUAGAGGUGAAAUUCGUAGAUAUCGGGAGGAACACCAGUGGCGAAGGCGGCGACCUGGCCAAUUACUGACACUGAGACGCGAAAGCGUGGGGAGCAAACAGG
rnacentral:rRNA from 1 species